CCUACGGGAGGCAGCAGUGAGGAAUAUUGGUCAAUGGGCGGAAGCCUGAACCAGCCAAGUAGCGUGCAGGAUGACGGCCCUACGGGUUGUAAACUGCUUUGAUACGGGAAUAACGCGCCUUACGUGUAGGGCUUUGCAUGUACCGUAUGAAUAAGGACCGGCUAAUUCGGUGCCAGCAGCCGCGGUAAUACGGAGGGUCCGGGCGUUAUCCGGAUUUAUUGGGUUUAAAGGGGGCGUAGGCCGCAUGUCAAGCGUGCUGUGAAAUGCUCGGGCUCAACCCGGGCCUUGCAGCGCGAACUGGCGGGCUUGAGUCCGCGGAGGGCAGGCGGAAUUCGUGGUGUAGCGGUGAAAUGCUUAGAUAUGACGAAGAACACCGAUGGCGAAGGCAGCUUGCUGGAGCGGAACUGACGCUGAUGCUCGAAAGCGCGGGUAUCGAACAGGAUUAGAUACCCUAGUAGUC
rnacentral:rRNA from 1 species